ACACCUCAGCUUCCCAGAUACUUGAACCCCAAGGUUCAAGGCUGCCAUGAGCUAUGAUCCCAUCAGAGCACUGCAUCCUGCCAGACUGAGUUCUGAAGGCCAGAAUUCUAAAGUCAGUUCCACGGAGUCAAGGUGGGAGCAGGGUCAGUGCCUUCCCAGGCUCUGCGGGAGAUUCCAUUUCCUGGCCCUGGAGGCGGCCUGCUCUCCUCAGCUUGUGCUGCCCUUCUCCAGUGACGCGAGUUUCCUGCUUUCAUCGCUACACCUCCCUCUGCUCUCCAUCACCUGCUCUGCUCUUAUAAGGAUCCAG